UACGUAGGGGGCAAGCGUUGUCCGGAUUCAUUGGGCGUAAAGAGCGUGUAGGCGGCCAGGUAGGUCCGUUGUGAAAACUCGAGGCUCAACCUCGAGACGUCGAUGGAAACCAUCUGGCUAGAGUCCGGAAGAGGAGAGUGGAAUUCCUGGUGUAGCGGUGAAAUGCGCAGAUAUCGAGAGGAACACCUGCGGCGAAGGCGGGUUGCUGGGCUGAUACUGACGCUGAGGCGCGAAAGCCAGGGGAGCGAACGGG
rnacentral:rRNA from 1 species